GAGAACCAAGAUAUCCAUUGUUAACAGUUGUUCGAGUUUGGUGGCCGCACAAUUAAGCGCAGGCCCGUUUUCAUGCAAAGGUGACGAGGGGGGCUCGCGCCCAGUGACCCGGUCGCCGGCCGUGUCGGCCUCUAGCGAUCGUGACUGCGCCAUUCGUACAGAGCUGGUGACACUUUCAGACACCAACAAGCAGAGGAAUGCCAGGCCACUUGCCUCACGCUCAAGCACAGUCUACGCAGAAGUCCCUGAAUCAAAACUGUUCGGCAAUGAUUUACCAGGGAUUGCUACCUUUUCUAAGAAAGGUAACAAGGUUUCCGUAGGUGAACCUGCGGAAGGAUCAUUAACACGUAUCCAACGUUAAACCCCCCGUGAACCUUCAGUGCGCUCGACUU
rnacentral:misc_RNA from 1 species